GAUGAAGAACGUAGCGAAAUGCGAUACUUGGUGUGAAUUGCAGAAUCCCGUGAACCAUCGAGUCUUUGAACGCAAGUUGCGCCUGAAGCCAGUAGGCCGAGGGCACGCCUGCCUGGGCGUCACACGUCGUUGCCCCCCCAUCUACUCCUUCGGGAUUGCGGGGGGCGGAUGAUGGCCUCUCGUGCGCCUCGUCGCGCGGUUGGCCUAAAUGCCAAGUCCUCGGCGACGCACGCCACGACAAUCGGUGGUUGCGAAACCUCGGUUGCCUGUCGUGUGCGGUCGUCGGGCAUCGAGGGCUCGAAAAAAUUGCCGGGCUUCGGCUCGACUUUCAACGCGACCCCAGGUCAGGCGGGGUUACCCGCUGAAUUUAAGCAUAUCAAUAAGCGGAGGA
rnacentral:misc_RNA from 1 species